rnacentral:rRNA from 1 species
UGAGUACGAGCUGCUACGGCAGCGAAGUGGGUGAUGUCAAGCUUCCAAGAAAAGCCCUAUACCCGUUAAGGCAUGAUGGCCUGUACCCGAAACCGACACAGGUGGGGUGGUAGAGAAUACCGAGGGGCGCGAGAUAACUCUCUCUAAGGAACUCGGCGAAAUGGCCCCGUAACUUCGGGAUAAGGGGUGCCACCGCAAGGUGGUCGCAGUGAAGAGGCCCAGGCGACUGUUUACCAAAAACACAGGUCUCCGCUAAGUCGCAAGACGAUGUAUGGGGGCUGACGCCUGCCCAGUGCCGGAAGGUUAAGGAAGCUGGUCAGCGUAAGCGAAGCUAGCGACUGAAGCCCCGGUGAACGGCGGCCGUAACUAUAACGGUCCUAAGGUAGCGAAAUUCCUUGUCGGGUAAGUUCCGACCCGCACGAAAGGCGUAACGAUCUGGGCGCUGUCUCGGAGAGAGGCUCGGCGAAAUAGAAUUGUCUGUGAAGAUGCGGACUACGUGCACCCGGACAGAAAGACCCUAUGAAGCUUUACUGUAGCUUGGUAUUGUGCCCGGGCUCUGAAUGCGCAGGAUAGGUGGGAGGCUUUGAUCCAUUGCUUGUGGGUGAUGGUGAGCCAACGGUGAGAUACCACUCUUUCGGAGCUAGGGUUCUAACGGUCACCCGUCAUCCGGGGACCGGACAGUAUCAGGUGGGCAGUUUGACUGGGGCGGUCGCCUCCUAAAAGGUAACGGAGGCGCGCAAAGGUUUGCUCAGGCUGGUUGGAAAUCAGCCGACGAGUGUAAAAGCAGAAGCAAGCUUGACUGUGAGACCUACAAGUCGAACAGGGACGAAAGUCGGCUUUAGUGAUCCGACGGUUCUGAGUGGAAGGGCCGUCGCUCAACGGAUAAAAGUUACUCUAGGAUAACAGGCUGAUCUCCCCCAAGAGUUCACAUCGACGGGGAGGUUUGGCACCUCGAUGUCGGCUCAUCGCAACCUGGGGCUGAAGUCGGUCCCAAGGGUUGGGCUGUUCGCCCAUUAAAGCGGUACGCGAGCUGGGUUCAGAACGUCGUGAGACAGUUCGGUCCAUAUCCGGUGCAUGCGCAGGAAUAUUGAGAGGAUUUCUCCCUAGUACGAGAGGACCGGGAGGAACGCACCUCUGGUGUGCCAGUUAUCGUGCCAACGGUAAACGCUGGGUAGCCAUGUGCGGAGUGGAUAACCGCUGAAAGCAUCUAAGUGGGAAGCCCACCUCAAGAUGAGUAUUCCCAUGGCGUUAGCCAGUAAGGUCACGGGAAGAACACCCGUUGAUAGGCUCUACGUGGAAGCCGGGUAACCGGUGAAGCGGAGGAGUACUAAUAGACCGAGGGCUUGAC